rnacentral:rRNA from 1 species
GAUGAACGCUCGCUGUGUGCCUAAUACAUGCAUGUUGAACGGGAUGUAGCAAUACAUUCAGUAGCGAAUGGGUGAGUAACACGUACCUAACCUACCUUUAAGACUGGGAUAACUAUUGGAAACAAUAGCUAAUACCGGAUAUAGUUAUUUAUCGCAUGAUGAGUAAUAGAAAGGAGCUUCACAGCUUCACUUAAAAAUGGGGGUGCGGAACAUUAGUUAGUUGGUAGGGGAAUGGCCUACCAAGACGAUGAUGUUUAGCCGGGGCGAGAGACUGUACGGGCACACUGUGACUGAGACACGGGCCAGACUCCUACGGGGGAGAGCAGUAGGGAUAUCUUCGAAAGGGGGGGACCCUGACCGGGCAAGCCCGGGGAGGAAAAGGUUUUUGAUUUAAAGCUCUUUUGUUUAGAAAGCGAGUGUGAAAAUGGAAGUUCAUAUUGGUCCUACUUAACCAGAAAAGGGACGGCUAACUACGUGCCACCAGCCGCGGGAAACGUGGGGCCCGACCGUUGUCCCGGAUUUAUUGGGGCGAAAACGAGCGCGGGGGGGGUAGAUAAGUCUUGAAGUAAAAGGCAGUGGCUCCACCCAUUUUUGGGGCUUUGGAAACUGUUUAACUUUGGGGGCCGGAAGGGGAGGAGUGGAUUUUCCUGUGUAGCGGGGAAAAGCCGAGAAAAUAUGGGGGAACGCCGGGGGGGAAAGGGGUUCUUUUGGCUCUUAACUAACCCUGAGGCUUGAAAACGGGGGGGGGCAAAAAGGAUAAGAAAACCCGGGAAGUCCAAGGGGGAAAUUUCCCAUUGGGGGUGCACCCCGGGGGGUCCCUCCUAGUUUCUAGAGGGGGCCCCCCCCGGGGGCCUCCAAUUCCCCCCAUAGGGAGGGGCGGAUAGCGGGCGCUCCCGUGGCGCUCUUUUUAAAACCUCCGGACUGGGAAAACCCUUUGUCUUCCCCAAUUUAAUCGCCUGGAGGAACAUCCUCUUUUUUUUAUUUGUGGAAAAAUCC